rnacentral:rRNA from 1 species
UACGGAGGGGGCUAGCGUUGUUCGGAAUUACUGGGCGUAAAGCGCACGUAGGCGGCUUUGCAAGUUAGAGGUGAAAGCCCGGAGCUUAACUCCGGAAUUGCCUUUAAAACUGCAUCGCUAGAAUUGUGGAGAGGUGAGUGGAAUUCCGAGCGUAGAGGUGAAAUUCGUAGAUAUUCGGAAGAACACCAGUGGCGAAGGCGACUCACUGGACACAUAUUGACGCUGAGGUGCGAAAGCGUGGGGAGCAAACAGG